GUGAGACAGGUCGGUUACUAUCUAUUAGGGGUGUUUUGAAGUCUGAGGGUAAGUUGCUUUUAGUACGAGAGGAACAGAGCAACGGUGCCUCUAGUCGAUCGGUUGUCUGACAAGGCAUUGCCGAGCAGCCACGCACUAAUGGAUAAGGGCUGAAAGCAUCUAAGCCCGAAACCAAACCUGAAAAGAGACUUCUCUAAGGAUACUUGUAGAAGACAAGUUUGAUAGAGUCGGGAUGUACGCAC
rnacentral:rRNA from 1 species